rnacentral:rRNA from 1 species
AGUGAACGCUGGCGGUAGGCCUAACACAUGCAAGUCGAACGGCAGCACAGGAGAGCUUGCUCUCUGGGUGGCGAGUGGCGGACGGGUGAGGAAUACAUCGGAAUCUGCCCAGUCGUGGGGGAUAACGUAGGGAAACUUACGCUAAUACCGCAUACGACCUUCGGGUGAAAGAGGGGGAUCACAAGACCUCUCGCGAUUGGAUGAGCCGAUGUCGGAUUAGCUAGUUGGCGGGGUAAUGGCCCACCAAGGCGACGAUCCGUAGCUGGUCUGAGAGGAUGAUAAGCCACACUGGAACUGAGACACGGUCCAGACGCCUACGGGAGGCAGCAGUGGGGAAGAUUGGACAAUGGGCGCAAGCCUGAUCCAGCCAUACCGCGUGGGUGAAGAAGGCCGUCGGGUUGUAAAGCCCGUUUGUUGGGAAAGAAAUCUUUCAGGCUAAUACCCUGGGAGGAUGACGGUACCCAAAGAAUAAGCACCGGCUAACUUCGUGC